AAACUGAAGAGUUUGAUCAUGGCUCAGAUUGAACGCUGGCGGCAGGCUUAACACAUGCAAGUCGAGCGGGGGAGGUUGCUUCGGUAACUGACCUAGCGGCGGACGGGUGAGUAAUGCUUAGGAAUCUGCCUAUUAGUGGGGGACAACAUUCCGAAAGGAAUG
rnacentral:rRNA from 1 species